UACGUAGGGCGCAAGCGUUGUCCGGAAUUAUUGGGCGUAAAGAGCUCGUAGGCGGUUUGUCGCGUCUGCUGUGAAAACCUGAGGCUCAACCUCGGGCUUGCAGUGGGUACGGGCAGACUAGAGUGCGGUAGGGGUGACUGGAAUUCCUGGUGUAGCGGUGAAAUGCGUAGAUAUCGAGAGGAACACCUGCGGCGAAGGCGGGUUGCUGGGCCGACACUGACGCUGAGGCGCGAAAGCCAGGGGAGCGAACGGG
rnacentral:rRNA from 1 species